rnacentral:rRNA from 1 species
GACGAACGCUGGCGGCGUGCUUAACACAUGCAAGACGAACGGAAAGGCCCUGCUUUUGUGGGGUGCUCGAGUGGCGAACGGGUGAGUAACACGUGAGUAACCUGCCCUUGACUUUGGGAUAACUUCAGGAAACUGGGGCUAAUACCGGAUAGGAGCUCCUGCUGCAUGGUGGGGGUUGGAAAGUUUCGGCGGUUGGGGAUGGACUCGCGGCUUAUCAGCUUGUUGGUGGGGUAGUGGCUUACCAAGGCUUUGACGGGUAGCCGGCCUGAGAGGGAGACCGGCCACAUUGGGACUGAGAUACGGCCCAGACUCCUACGGGAGGCAGCAGUGGGGAAUAUUGCACAAUGGGCGGAAGCCUGAUGCAGCAACGCCGCGUGCGGGAUGACGGCCUUCGGGUUGUAAACCGCUUUCGCCUGUGACGAAGCGUGAGUGACGGUAAUGGGUAAAGAAGCACCGGCUAACUACGUG